CUACGCUCAUCCGAAAGACUUUGCUUCCUCACACGACACCUGUCCAAACGAAUCUUAGAGCAGCAAGUCUCUUCUCCCAACAGUUCUCUUUCCUCUCUCUCUUCUCCAAUCUCCCAUCUUCGUACUACCCGGCCGGCCGCCGGCAAGGCAUCAAGCCCACAGUUUGACUGGCAUCUCUGGCCACGGCGAGGUCACAGCUAGCAGCACUGGACGAUGUGUUGAAGAAAGGGGGCGCCAAGGAGGCGCAGCGGCAUCGACCUCGUGCUCAACCCAACCGCCGUCAAUAGGUUUUAAGGUGAAUAUUUUCCAUGGAAGAAGCAUGACGGGUGCGGUGGCAACCGGAAACUCUGCUCCAGACCUUGCCCCCGGACCUUGCUACGUCUGAAGAUGCUGGACCCUCGGUCCUAAGAGCGAGUUGGAUUUGUCGCCAAGUCCCUGGCCGGAGGAAGAAGAAAGGGUACAAAAGAGAUAUUCGCUACUCUUAAGAUUUGUGCGGACAGGUGUCGUGCGGGAAGCAGAGUCUUUCGGAUAAGCGUAGGACUUAAGUCUUACCAAAUUUUCUUCCCUCUUGGGUGGGAUAGUUUUUUUGGGUGGGCUAUUUCCAAAUAGCUCUCAAAUAGCUCACCCUUUUGAAUCUUUUUGAGCUAUUUGGGCUAUUUAAGAGAGGGCUAAAAAAUAUCUCUUAAAUCCAAACAGAGCCAUGUCAGAAAUCUCGAUGCUUAUACCCUUCGGAAGGGAACUACGGCUGGCUUUUGCCAGCCUAAACCUUUAUUCAUUUCAAAAGGUUGGGAACAUUACAUAACUUUUAGUUAGUGUACUGGUGGGAGAGAAGUCUCGAAGGUUGAUAAUGCUCAUACUUGCGCAUGUCGUCUGCAGUAUCACAGGGGAUGUCAAUUGGCGCACAUGCGCUUAAGCUUUUACCAAUGCUGAUUGCUGCAUAUUCGGUCCUCUCCCUCGUCAAGUUUGUAGUACUGUACUAGUGUACUGCUACG